AGGGGGGGGUUGGCCUUAUUAAUUGCAAGUCGAACGCACUCUCGUUUAGAUUGAAGGAGCUUGCUCCUGAUUGAUAAACAUUUGAGUGAGUGGCGGACGGGUGAGUAACACGUGGGUAACCUGCCCUAAAGUGGGGGAUAACAUUUGGAAACAGAUGCUAAUACCGCAUAAAACCUAACACCGCAUGGUGUAGGGUUGAAAGAUGGUUUCGGCUAUCACUUUAGGAUGGACCCGCGGUGCAUUAGUUAGUUGGUGAGGUAAAGGCUCACCAAGACCGUGAUGCAUAGCCGACCUGAGAGGGUAAUCGGCCACACUGGGACUGAGACACGGCCCAGACUCCUACGGGAGGCAGCAGUAGGGAAUCUUCCACAAUGGACGAAAGUCUGAUGGAGCAACGCCGCGUGAGUGAAGAAGGUUUUCGGAUCGUAAAACUCUGUUGUUGGAGAAGAAUGUAUCUGAUAGUAACUGAUCAGGUAGUGACGGUAUCCAACCAGAAAGCCACGGCUAACUACGUGCCAGCAGCCGCGGUAAUACGUAGGUGGCAAGCGUUGUCCGGAUUUAUUGGGCGUAAAGCGAGCGCAGGCGGUUUCUUAAGUCUGAUGUGAAAGCCUUCGGCUCAACCGAAGAAGUGCAUCGGAAACUGGGAAACUUGAGUGCAGAAGAGGACAGUGGAACUCCAUGUGUAGCGGUGAAAUGCGUAGAUAUAUGGAAGAACACCAGUGGCGAAGGCGGCUGUCUGGUCUGUAACUGACGCUGAGGCUCGAAAGCAUGGGUAGCAAACAGGAUUAGAUACCCUGGUAGUCCAUGCCGUAAACGAUGAGUGCUAGGUGUUGGAGGGUUUCCGCCCUUCAGUGCCGCAGCUAACGCAUUAAGCACUCCGCCUGGGGAGUACGACCGCAAGGUUGAAACUCAAAGGAAUUGACGGGGGCCCGCACAAGCGGUGGAGCAUGUGGUUUAAUUCGAAGCAACGCGAAGAACCUUACCAGGUCUUGACAUCCUUUGACCACUCUAGAGAUAGAGCUUUCCCUUCGGGGACAAAGUGACAGGUGGUGCAUGGUUGUCGUCAGCUCGUGUCGUGAGAUGUUGGGUUAAGUCCCGCAACGAGCGCAACCCUUAUUACUAGUUGCCAGCAUUUAAUUUGGGGCACUCUAGUGAGAACUGCCGGUGAAAAACCGGAAGGAAGGUGGGGACAACGUCAAAUCAUCAUGCCCCCUUAUGAACCUGGGGCUAACCCCGUGGCCCCAAGGGGAUGGGGACAAAAAUUUGGCAAAAACCCCCGGGGUUAUAUUAAAUUCUUUUAAAAACCAUUU
rnacentral:rRNA from 1 species